ACCAGAAGCACCUCUAGCCCCCUUCCCACAUCCUUCUGCUUGGCAUGUUUUAGAACCAGACCCACGUAGAGAUCGUUGCUGUUGUGGUAGCCCAGAAGUACAGAUGACCGAGUCAUUUGGUGCUACCAUACCAGCUGAAGGAUCUCGGACAAUGGGAUCACUAGCUUUGUGAACCUUAUUGAAAAGAAAGCUGGCCUCUUUGUUGCAAGUAGUCUGUGCUGGAAUCACUGUAAAGCCUGUUUUCUGGUAGUAUGAUGUUGAUACAUCAG
rnacentral:lncRNA from 1 species